GCCUGGGUGGCUCAGUUGGUUGAGUGUCUGACUUCGGCUUAGGUCAUCAUCCCAAGGUUUGUGGGUUCGAGCCCCACAUUGGGCU
rnacentral:tRNA from 1 species